ensembl:lncRNA
UAAUCAGUUUGUUUAGAGGAAAACAAAUGUCUGCUGCUCUCACAGCAUGAUAUAAGACAAGAGAAAAAUAGUAUCAUUUUCUUUGAAAUGGCUCUGCUGGAACCUCAGGAAAAUUACUGAUUAGAUUUUAUUUGUGCCAGUUCAAUGACAAUUACUCAUGAGAAUAUUAGUUGAACAGCAGCUUUGGAGUACGUGGCUUUGUUUUGCGAUGGCAGCUUACAGCAAGAAUGUCAAAGACUAAGACACUGAGAUUUAUAAAUCAAGCUGAAUGCAAGCAAGCAGUGGGCAAACAAUGUUCAUCACACCCGGACACUGCAUUCAUGAAGACACUGUGAAAAUCGGUACAAAUUACUGGACAAAGGAAAGUUUGCGCCGACUGCCCUGUGCCUUUUCCAGAAGAAAGCGGUGCCGUAGACGUGGGAACCGAGGCGGCGUUUCCACCAGAUGGAAAUUGUACCUGCCGUCCUCUGUAGUACCUCAUUCAUAUCCUUAUCUCGGCAGAUGUGGGCUGGUUUCGGAUCGCGUUUGCUCUGGGCGGUGUGAGGAGUCGCUGUAUGGCUGGAUCCGGCCCGUUGUACCUGUACUCGACUCAACUCUCCCUCAGGUAUCUUUGCCUCAUCUCCGCAGUGGAUGAGUGGAUUUAACGAACCUUCGCCUGCUGUUUCGUGCAUCACAGUCGGCUAAUGAUUCGAUCUUGGUCAGAAUGGCUCUGGUUAAUUCAAGAUCGUUAGUUAAUAAGACCUUUAUAUUGAAUUAUUUUUCACUUCACGAGAUCUGGAUUUUAAUGUUGGAGACCUUAGCUCUUUUACUAAGCUUGUACCAGUGGAUUGUACCUUUUUUAAUCCCCCCUGCACUACUGGUUGAGGUGGUGGACUUGCAUCAGUUUAAAAAAAAAAAAAAAAAAAAAAUUAUGUGAUGGCCUGAGCUUGCAGCCUGAUGUCUAUUCCAGUUUUGAAUUACAAUUGAUGCAUGUUGACUCAGCAAACCAUGUGCUAUGUGCACUGGUUUACUGACCACCCAAAUUAAACAAGUUUAUUACUGAGUUUACCAAAUUUUUAGGAGGAAUUAUGACAAAUUAUUGAUAAUGGCUUCUCCGAUCACAAGUCUGUUUUUGGAAUUUCCUUUCCAAGACCUGCUGUUAAACCAUGUGCACCUGCACGCCAGCUCUGAACACUGAAUUCUGUGACUGGUCUUGAUUUUUGUAAUUUGUACAGUAAUGGUUCUUUUUUAUGUGAAUCAUGAAUGCUCACCCUCUCAUUUAAGUACUGAAGAGUUACUUCAUUUAUCUCUGCGUGUACUGGUUAGGCGCAUUAAACCUAAAUCAGAACCGUGGUUAAAUGAUUCUACUCGUGCACGUCUACUCGACGGGUCUGUAGGCACGCUGAGCGCAAAUGGAAGAAGGACAAGCUUCAAGUUUCCUAUGAUACUUUUAGGGGUUCGCUGUCAAAAUAUCAGAUAAUGGUCAAAAGAGCAAGGGCCAAUUAUUUUUCUG